rnacentral:misc_RNA from 1 species
GAUGUAUUGCUAUGAGAAAGAUGUCGAUUAGGUGUUAGGCUUGGGUCAGUGCAGUUCAAACAUAUUUGAUUGUGGUUUUACAAACUAUAAUUCCAGUAUAUGAUUCAUGAUACUUGCUUGUAAACCACAAUUUUCACUUUGAACCUCUCCCCUUAAAGGAUUGUAACGUUUUAUGAGAGAAUGAAUUUAGCAAAUAACAGUGUCGGAACCUUCAGGAAACUGUAUACAAUCUCACUUACUGUAAAUUUUCUUUCUCUCUGUGCAGGCCAAUGCAGCUU